CCCAGGGUGGUGGAAUCGGUAGACACGGCAAUCUCGCAAGUUGCUGGCCGCAAGGCCGUGCGGGUUCGAGUCCCGCCCCGGGGC
rnacentral:tRNA from 1 species